GGUGUGAACUUAAGCCCCAGUAAACGGCGGCCGUAACUAUAACGGUCCUAAGGUAGCGAAAUUCCUUGUCGGGUAAGUUCCGACCCGCACGAAUGGCGUAAUGAUUUGGGCACUGUCUCAACAGCAAAUCCGGCGAAAUUGUAGUGCAAGUGAAGAUGCUUGCUACCCGCGAUUGGACGGAAAGACCCCGUAGAGCUUUACUGUAGCUUAGCAUUGAAUCUCGGUAUUGUCUGUACAGGAUAGGUGGGAGACUUGGAAGCUUGGGCGUCAGCCUGAGUGGAGUCAUCCUUGGGAUACCACCCUGA
rnacentral:rRNA from 1 species